UUCUCUCUCACUGCUCUCUCUUCCAAACCUCCAUAGCCAUUGCCCUGCCACUCUUCCAUUUCCCAUUCUCCAAAAUAGCAAAUCUCAUCUCUCUCUGUUUCUCUCGUACCACCAUACCACACCAGCACCUCCAUCUUCCCUCUCUCAACUCCAAACCUUGACAACUGUUGCUUAGCGUUGCCGAUCAUCACCAGUUUCGACGAGACUGACCUUUGUCUCGUUGAAAAACGCCUAAAAUUGUCUCUCCGUUGUCUCCAACCACAAAGUUUUCUUCACUGCUUUCAACUUCUGACUUUGCAAGAAGUAAUAAAGAAAGGGACAAAUAAGAUUGGGCUGCCUAGAAUAACAUUGAUGGUUCCUUCCAGGUGGUGGUCUAGUUGUUUGUGAGCAGUACUGGAAUUUCAUUAGUUUGAUAAGCUCAUCAAUCUUUGGUUUGGGAAGCUUCAAGGGUAAUGCAUAGCAGCAUUGUUCGGGAUACUCAUCAAACUUUGGCUUUAUUCUCCAUGACAUGAGGCCAUUGCAGUGAACAGACUUUGGACUUUUUGAAGAAACUUGGUCUAUGAGAUUUGAAUCUCAACCAACUUUAGUAGUUCCAACUUUGUUUAUCUAAAGAAGAGGCAAUCUUUUUGUUGUGUUGAGUUUCAAACUUGUACCAAAGAAAUGUAAGACAAGUGUGAUGUAUAAUACAAAUACUUAUAUUUUACAAAAGAUAUAAAGUUGGGAUAGUUUAAAAAUAUAG